GCCGUGGGCGGCAGGAAGUGUGCAGAGACAGAGCACCAGCACCCGGGUGGGGUGGGGAGGGGGCCGAGAAGGACCCUUCCCCACGUCCGGGCCACUAUGGCUGCUGGGGUCUCACACGCAGGGGAGCUGGGCAGGUCCCAGCCCCUGGGGGGUAAGACCAGGCGGGAGAGAAGGGCCAGGGGACCGUGCCUGGGACCUGUCCUUCUGCCCCCAGGACAUCGUGGCUGGAGACAUGAGCAAGAAGAGCCUCUGGGAGCAAAAGGGAGGCUCCAAGACCUCGUCCACAGUGAAGGUAGCUAGCGUCCACGCCACUGGCGCGAGGCGGGCGGUGCCGCAGGGAAGGGUGGAGAGGGGCUGUCCACUGUGCAUCCCGGAGGGCUUCCUGGAGGCAGCCGUCGCUCUUCCGCCAGUCUCACCUUUAUUCUCCACGUCCUUCCCCAACAGAGCACCCCGUCCGGGAAGCGGUACAAGUUUGUGGCCACCGGACACGGGAAGUACGAGAAGGUGCUGGUGGACGGGGGCCCGGCUCCCUAGACCCCGCCGCACCCUCCGUGUUCCCAGGGAGAUCCCGGCCAGACACCCGCCCCAGCCCUGGCUAAGAAGUUGCUUCCUGUCACCAGCCUGGCCCACCCUGGUGCCUUUGACACCCCCCACCACCACCACCACCACCGCGAACUCCUUUUGCUCCUGGACCCUCCAGCCUCUCUCCUCUCCCACUCUGACCCCAGCUCUGCCUCUGACUGCUUGGGGAGGAAAGAGACUCCUGAUCACUGGCCAAAGGGGCUGCCCCCCAGAGAGGACCAGAGCUCUCGGGGAAGGCAGGAGAACAAGGUGCCGCCUGUGCAGAGGGGGGCCGGUCACCCCACCAGAUCUGAGGGGUACCCGCAGGGUGAUCUCCAGGCCAAGAGCCGCCAACCCCUGCGCUGGAUGCUCAGGACUCUGUGCCCCUCCCGUCCCCGCUUGCCUCACUGCCCUCCCCACGUCAUGCAAUAAAGCUCCUUGUGUCCCCAUGCACUGGCUCGCCGUGCUCACUGAGGGGGACGGGGGAGUGGGGCUGACCGGGACACACAGCCCCGCACCAUGCAAUGUCCCUCUGCCCUGUCCUGUGGCCCUCCACAGGGGUAGGCACCAGGAUAUGAAGUCUGUGGUGGUCUAAGUCAGUGCCCAUGCAACGGGUGGGGUCCAGCCUGCCUUUUCCAGAAUGUUGUGACAUCCCCCUCUUGACUGGCCCACUGUAAACCUGUGCUCUGACUGCGUGCCUGCUGAGGG
rnacentral:lncRNA from 1 species